CGCCAAACCGUGCAAGCGUGUUGUCAGGCUGUGGUGUUGUUAACUUGGUCGACAACAAGGGGAACUAAAACACAUUUUUUGGUCAGUCAAGAUUACAUUUUCUCUUGCAUUUUUGUCCCUUUCUCGAAGAAGAUGAGUUACGGUCGGCCGCCGCCCGACGUUGAGGGCAUGGUUUCGCUCAAAGUCGACAAUUUAACAUAUCGCACAUCUCCAGAAACGCUCAGGCGCGUUUUUGAAAAAUACGGGCGAGUGGGAGACGUGUACAUCCCUCGUGAUAGGUACUCAAAAGAAAGCCGCGGGUUCGCUUUUGUUCGCUUUCUGGACAAACGGGAUGCUGAGGACGCAAUGGACGCUAUGGAUGGAGCCUUGCUAGAUGGACGCGAACUGCGAGUGCAGAUGGCCCGGUAUGGCCGCCCGCCAGACUCGCAUUACGGCGGCGGGCGCAGAGGUGGACCCCCAUCUUCACGCAGCAGCAGAUCUGGCGGUGGAGGCGGAGGCGGUGGUGGCUAUGGACGCAGAAGCCGGAGCUACAGCCCACGCCGCCGCAGCCGUCGGAGUCGCUCCAGGAGCAGGAGUCGUUCCCGCUCUCGUUCGGGCAGAUACAGCCGCUCCAGAUCCAGGUCGUACAACAACUCCCGGUCCAGGUCGCACUCCAAGACUCCGCGCAGAAGCAAGAGCAAGUCCAAGUCACCGUCUAGGUCCCGCUCCAGGAGCCGAACUCCCGUCUCCAACAGAGGGUCCAAGUCCAGGUCGAGAUCCAGAAGCAGCCGCCCUAAGUCUCCUGAAGACAACGAAACCGCGUCCUGAGCUGAGGAGAAUAAAGGCUGCUGUGUUCCUGUAUGCAUAAGAGGAGUUGGGUGGUGAGCAAGUUGAGCAGUAACAGUAGUGUGAGAGCAGAGACCAAUGCCCUGCCCUGCUGUGAUUGGCGGUUGCUAAGGAGCAGGCCGGUGUCUUUGAGUGUUGAGGUGGUUUUGAGCCUGAAAUGUGGUUCAGGAUGAUCCCAGAGAUGUGAGCGGCUCCACCCGAGGUGGUACUAUUCGCCAGUGGAUAUCGGAUUUAAAAGGUUAUUGCUACUUGGGUCUACAUUGGUUGUUUUUUUGUUUUUCGUUUUGUUUUUUAAAAUCAAAGUUUUGGCUUUUCUUGUUGCAUUUCUGUGUCUCCUCAAACCUCCCUGUAUUGCAUGGAUGACUUGUAAACUGAUGCGACUGAUGUCUUUGUGUAGACCAUGUUGAAUCAGCCAUUUUUCUACGCUACACAUUUCUAGUUGUGUUGUUUUUAAAUACAAAAUUUGACAUUGGUUUGAUUAAAGAACAUUUUUAAAAAUG